UACGUAGGGUGCAAGCGUUAAUCGGAAUUACUGGGCGUAAAGCGUGCGCAGGCGGUUGUGCAAGACCGAUGUGAAAUCCCCGGGCUUAACCUGGGAACUGCAUUGGUGACUGCACGGCUAGAGUGUGUCAGAGGGGGGUAGAAUUCCACGUGUAGCAGUGAAAUGCGUAGAGAUGUGGAGGAAUACCGAUGGCGAAGGCAGCCCCCUGGGAUAACACUGACGCUCAUGCACGAAAGCGUGGGGAGCAAACAGG
rnacentral:rRNA from 2 species